rnacentral:sRNA from 1 species
CCCAGCGCUGAAGCGCUGGGCUAAGUUGUUUCGCGCGCCGGCGCU